rnacentral:rRNA from 1 species
AGCAGCCGCGGUAAUUCCAGCUCCAAUAGCGUAUAUUAAAGUUGUUGCAGUUAAAAGCUCGUAGUUGAAUUUCGGGAUCAAUAUAUCGGUCGUGCCAUUGGUACGUACUGGUAUCAUUGGUUUCUCCUUUCUGACGAACCAUGAUGUCAUUAAUUUGGUGUUAUGGGAAGUUAGGACUGUUACUUUGAAAAAUUGAGUGUUUAAAGCAGGCUUUGGCUUGAAUACAUUAGCAUGGAAUAAUGAAAUAGGACGUUCGAACCUAUUUUGUGGUUUCUAGGAUCAACGUAAUGAUUAAUAGGGAUAGUUGGGGGCAUUAGUAUUCAAUUGUCAGAGGUGAAAUUCUUGGAUUUAUUGAAGACUAACUACUGCGAAAGCAUUUGCCAAGGAUGUUUUCAUU